CAGCAUGAUGAAAAACGGGCGAGGCUGCACCAGACUGAGCAGAAAAGGAAGUAGCAAAAGAUCGUCCAGCACUGUCUGGAA